rnacentral:rRNA from 1 species
GAUGAACGCUAGCUACAGGCUUAACACAUGCAAGUCGAGGGGCAGCAUUUCAGUUUGCUUGCAAACUGGAGAUGGCGACCGGCGCACGGGUGAGUAACACGUAUCCAACCUGCCGAUAACUCGGGGAUAGCCUUUCGAAAGAAAGAUUAAUACCCGAUGGCAUAAUUAGACCGCAUGGUCUUAUUAUUAAAGAAUUUCGGUUAUCGAUGGGGAUGCGUUCCAUUAGGCAGUUGGUGAGGUAACGGCUCACCAAACCUUCGAUGGAUAGGGGUUCUGAGAGGAAGGUCCCCCACAUUGGAACUGAGACACGGUCCAAACUCCUACGGGAGGCAGCAGUGAGGAAUAUUGGUCAAUGGGCGCAGGCCUGAACCAGCCAAGUAGCGUGAAGGAUGACUGCCCUAUGGGUUGUAAACUUCUUUUAUAUGGGAAUAAAGUUUUCCACGUGUGGAAUUUUGUAUGUACCAUAUGAAUAAGGAUCGGCUAACUCCGUGCCAGCAGCCGCGGUAAUACGGAGGAUCCGAGCGUUAUCCGGAUUUAUUGGGUUUAAAGGGAGCGUAGGUGGACAGUUAAGUCAGUUGUGAAAGUUUGCGGCUCAACCGUAAAAUUGCAGUUGAUACUGGCUGUCUUGAGUACAGUAGAGGUGGGCGGAAUUCGUGGUGUAGCGGUGAAAUGCUUAGAUAUCACGAAGAACUCCGAUUGCGAAGGCAGCUCACUGGACUGCAACUGACACUGAUGCUCGAAAGUGUGGGUAUCAAACAGGAUUAGAUACCCUGGUAGUCCACACAGUAAACGAUGAAUACUCGCUGUUUGCGAUAUACAGUAAGCGGCCAAGCGAAAGCAUUAAGUAUUCCACCUGGGGAGUACGCCGGCAACGGUGAAACUCAAAGGAAUUGACGGGGGCCCGCACAAGCGGAGGAACAUGUGGUUUAAUUCGAUGAUACGCGAGGAACCUUACCCGGGCUUAAAUUGCAUUUGAAUAUAUUGGAAACAGUAUAGCCGUAAGGCAAAUGUGAAGGUGCUGCAUGGUUGUCGUCAGCUCGUGCCGUGAGGUGUCGGCUUAAGUGCCAUAACGAGCGCAACCCUUAUCUUUAGCUACUAACAGGUCAUGCUGAGGACUCUAGAGAGACUGCCGUCGUAAGAUGUGAGGAAGGUGGGGAUGACGUCAAAUCAGCACGGCCCUUACGUCCGGGGCUACACACGUGUUACAAUGGGGGGUACAGAAGGCAGCUACCUGGUGACAGGAUGCUAAUCCCAAAAGCCUCUCUCAGUUCGGAUCGAAGUCUGCAACCCGACUUCGUGAAGCUGGAUUCGCUAGUAAUCGCGCAUCAGCCAUGGCGCGGUGAAUACGUUCCCGGGCCU